AUGUACUUAGCCAGUGCUACAAGUCCUGACAUCUCUUUUGUUGUUAGCAAACUGAGUCGGUUUGUCUCAAAACCAGGCGAUGUGCAUUGGAAAGCUCUAGAGAGAGUUUUGCGUUAUUUGAAAGGCACUGCAAAUUAUGGAAUUCACUACACUAGGCACCCAGAGGUGCUUGAAGGGUAUAGUGACUCAAACUGGAUCUCAAAUGCUGAUGAGAUAAAGGCCACGAGUGGAUAUGUAUUCACUCAUGGAGGUGGCGCUGUUUCUUGGAAGUCUUGCAAGCCGACCAUCUUAACGAGGUCAACAAUGGAAGAAAAACUCACAACACUAGAUACAGCUACAGUCGAAGCAGAUUGGCUUCGCUGGCUCUUGAAUGACUUGCCCGUUGUUGAGAAACCUGUACCGGGUAUCCUUAUGAACUGUGACAAUCAAACUGUGAUCACGAAAGUGAACAGCUCAAAGGAUAACAUGAAGUCAUCAAGACACAUUCAGAGAAGGCUCAAGUCUGUCAGAAAAAUGAGAAACUCCAGAGUUAUUGCAUUGGAUUCUAUCCAAACGUCUAAAAAUCUGGCAGAUCCUUUUACUAAGGGUCUAUCACGUAAUGUGAUAGAUAAUGCAUCGAGGGAGAUGGGUAUGAGACCCACAACAUGA
rnacentral:rRNA from 1 species